UACAUGAGGUGCAAACGUUGCUCGGAAUUAUUGGGCGUAAAGCGCACGUAGGCGGUUCGUUAAGUCGGAUGUGAAAGCCCUCGGCUCAACUGAGGAAGUGCACCCGAAACUGGCGAGCUUGAGUACGAAAGAGGAUCGCGGAAUUCCCGGUGUAGAGGUGAAAUUCGUAGAUAUCGGGAGGAACACCGGUGGCGAAGGCGGCGAUCUGGGUCGAUACUGACGCUGAGGUGCGAAAGCGUGGGGAGCAAACAGG
rnacentral:rRNA from 1 species